GAUGAAGAACGUAGCGAAAUGCGAUAAGUAAUGUGAAUUGCAGAAUUCAGUGAAUCAUCGAAUCUUUGAACGCACCUUGCACCCUUUGGCAUUCCGAAGGGUAUGCUCGUUUGAGUGUCAUUGUACUCUCACACUUCCGAUCUUUCGAUUGGAGCGGUGGACUUGGGUGUUGCUGCUUUACUGUGGCUCACCUCAAAUGGAGUAGUGCAACUCUUGGUUGGACAUAGUACGGCGUGAUAAGUGUCUUCGCCGGCACCUCAUAGAGGGUGGCUGAUCAGGAGCUCUGUGCUUCAAACUGUCUUCGGACAACCUCUGACAACUUGACCUCAAAUCGAGUAGGACCACCCGCUGAACUUAAGCAUAUCAAUAAGCGGAGGA
rnacentral:misc_RNA from 1 species